GAGAAAUAAGAGAAAAAGAAGUAGUAAGAGCAUCUUUUUUGAAAGCAGUGUCAACUUCUUUUGGUUCCAUUUGUUUGGCUUCUCUCUUUACUCCUUUUCUUCGUCUCUUUCGUUUUGUAUUAAAUGUUGGAGGAGUUUGGGAAAUGGUUCGUCCUUUUUGUGAAUGUGGAGGGAAAAUUCAUGCUUUUGCUUUGACAUA
rnacentral:ribozyme from 13 species